UGACUACUGGCAGGAUCACCAGGUAGCAUCUUUUUGCCGCCGGCACCGUAUGAGCGAGGACAAUUACUAUCCUGCCGUCAACACAUGGCACAUCAGGGCUUUCGUAAGGGACAAUUGAUUCGGGCAAAAAGGGACAAAGUCCCCGACCGAUUUUUGCUUCUACAUACAAGACUUCGAGCAACCCUUGGGCGUCCAAUGCCUGCUAGCUAAAUAAGAAAAGCAAGAGCAGACGUCCAUGGGUGCUAACUUGUCUACGUCGCACAAAACCUUUUAGCACGAGAUAGAGUAUGGAUCGUGGGACUAGAGAAUUCCGUCAAAAUAGGUAUGCUGCACAGGGGGCCAAGGCAGUCCAAGGUAAAAGAUUUUGCACUCAAACAGAAUUGAACAGGUGUGAACUAGCGAUUGUCGCUGCCA
rnacentral:rRNA from 1 species